rnacentral:lncRNA from 1 species
AUGAUGUUAAUGGAAGUGACCGCUAAUGCAGGUCAAAAAAUCGGAGCCCUGGUGGAUCUGGCUUCAGACACCAACUACAUUACUCAUAAAGCAGCCAAAAGAUUGAAUCUUAGGAGUGAGAAGAUCACACUAAUUGUGCAUGGAGUGGGUGGAAUGGCUACCAAAGUAGCCACAAGAAGAUACCUCCUCAGAGUUCGAAUCAAAACCUCCAAGGGAACUGAGAGGGCCCAUGAACUAAUCUGUUAUGGGCUGAAGGAGAUCGCCAAAGUUCACCGAGCUGUCAAGCCUGAAGAGCUGACGAGAUUCUUCCCAGAAGUUGAACCUGAGGAGCUGAGGAGACCUGAGCAGAUUGAGUUGCUCAUAAGUCACAGAGAAGGGAGACUUGCCCCACAAAGGGUGAAAGUUGUUGGAGAUCUCGUCUUGUGGGAGAGCCCUCUUGGAAAGACAGUGGGCGGAGCGCACCCUGAUCUGUUUGAGCAAGUAAACAUGACGGCACAUGAGUCAAAGACACACUUUGCUCGUUCUAUGAGAACAGCUGCCAUCAAAUAUGAGGAGAUCCCUGCUGAGGUCCCCUUCAUGACCAAGACAGUUCACAUGCAAGACACCAUCGGUGAAGCUAGGCAUACAGCUGCAACUCACCGUGACGUCCUUGAGUGCAAGGAGGCGCGAAGGAUACUGGAGGAAGACAGCUACACAGAUGAUGUCCUAACAUCCCACAAUAAUGCAAACAGACUGAGCGAAGUGACCAAGGAGAUUGAGGAAAUUCUGCAAGCAGGUGGAUUUUCUCUGAAGCCAUGGGUCCAGUCUACGCAAAGUGGGAGGCAGGAAAGGGGAGUAGCAGACACCACAACGAGGACACCCUCUGAGACGCACAAAACAUUUGUCCUGCCAAGUCAGUCAGCUGAGGAAGUGGUAACUGACGCCAGGGACAGCAUCAGUAAGCUGCAGAGGAAGGCCUUUUCAGCAGUAAUGACAAGAGGUCAAGUGAAGAGAUGCCGAGGGGUCACCACCCAGGACCACACCAAAGCUGAAGACUCUGUUGAAAAAAAUGAUACUGACCCAACCCACCUGAUUGUCUGCCCUGAUGCAUCGGAACUGAUCCAGAAAUGA